GAUGAAGAACGCAGCGAAAUGCGAUAAGUAGUGUGAAUUGCAGAAUUUAGUGAAUCAUCGAAUCUUUGAACGCACAUUGCGCCCUUUGGUAUUCCUUAGGGCAUGCCUGUUCGAGCGUCAUCUACACCCUCAAGCACAGCUUGGUGAUGGGCGCCUGUCCCGCCCCCCACGGGGGCGCGGACUCGCCUCAAAUGCAUUGGCGGCCGGCGACCUGGCUUCGAGCGCAGCAGAAACGCGUACUCGGGGACCGGGCGCCCGCUCCCAGAAGCCAACCCACCCAGUUUGACCUCGGAUCAGGUAGGGAUACCCGCUGAACUUAAGCAUAUCAAUAAGCGGA
rnacentral:misc_RNA from 1 species